UACAGAGGGGGCAAGCGUUGUUCGGAAUUACUGGGCGUAAAGGGCGCGUAGGCGCCUUCUAAGUCGAACGUGAAAUCCCCGGGCUCAACCCGGGAACUGCGUCCGAUACUGGAAGGCUUGAAUCCGGGAGAGGGAUGUGGAAUUCCAGGUGUAGCGGUGAAAUGCGUAGAUAUCUGGAGGAACACCGGUGGCGAAGGCGACAUCCUGGACCGGUAUUGACGCUGAGGCGCGAAAGCCAGGGGAGCAAAGCGGGAGUUAAGAA
rnacentral:rRNA from 1 species